UUUGUUUCAAUUUUAUUUCUUCUUUAAUUUUAAGAAUUUUUUUCCUCAUACUAAUUUGUGAUUUGGUUUAUUGUUUUUCCAGGUUUGGAAUGGAUUGUUAGAUCAUUUGAUCCUUUUCUGAUUUCUUGAGCUUGCACAUUGUAUCCAAGGACGUGGACCAGGGAUAGAGGCUUAUGAUUACUGUGUGCAAGAACUCUCCUCUUGAGGAUCAAAGCAUCUGACAAGGAAGCUCUCCUAGAUUAAGUCCUCAAGCACCUUUCCCAAUAACAAGCAAGAGAAGCUGCUCUUCUGGGGAAGCAAAUGUGCUCCUCUUAAAGGAUACUUAAGUCCAACACUGGAGGAAGCGUAACUGAAAGAGCCCACAGCUGAGAUCAAGGCAUAACAACACUUGCUUCCAUGUGAAAAUGAUUAAGCAUACUGUCUUCAUUGGGUAAAAGUCAUCAUGAUGUGGACCAGGGACCUCUGUGUCUCCAAGUGUAUU